rnacentral:pre_miRNA from 1 species
GGUCUCUGUGUUGGGCGUCUGUCUGCCCGCAUGCCUGCCUCUCUGUUGCUCUGAAGGAGGCAGGGGCUGGGCCUGCAGCUGCCUGGGCAGAGC